rnacentral:lncRNA from 1 species
CGCGGGCGGAGGCUUCCGGGGCUGGGGGCGGUGCCACGUGCAGUGCCGGCGGCGCACGGCAGAGGGCGUAGAGGAGCUACCGCCGCCCUCCCGGAUCCCCACGGCGCGGUCCGCGACGCCCGCCCUGCCGCCGCCUGGCCGAAGCCUCUCCAAGGCCAAGGCCACCCUCGGCCCCGCCCCGCCGCAACCGCCGCCCCGGAGUGUCGGUCGAAGAUCACCCUAGGCCCACGCCCUCUGCCCGCCCCGGACGCGCCACCCCCUUCCUGGGCCUCCCUCCCUCCUUCCGCUCCAGGUCAGCCCCACAUUUCUCCCUGGAGCUCUGAGAGUCUUCCAGAAAAAGUUCCUGAGGAGAGCUCACUGCUGGAGGUCUUGGUCUCUCACACCCUUGGAGCUCAUCUACCCAAGUGAGGCUGAGUGCCCUCCGCCAGUGCAGACAGACCCAGUCCGUGUUGAUGCAAAACCAGAUGAAGAAAAUGAGGCCCAGGAUGGACCUUGUUCUAUCUGGAAAAAGACAGAAAAGGGACCUUAGGACUGGAAAGGCAACUAUAGGAGCAGCACCCCCUGGUGGCGUUGGGGACCCAAGAAAGCAAAACAUCGGUGUUCAUCCCCAGGAUGAAGCAGGCUGCCUUGUCUGAGCCUGGGGUCUUCGCCAGAGGUGCACCUCAUCAAAGCCCCUGAGAUGCCCCUCCAGGGCCUGGUCCCUGCAGGAGAAACCAAGCUCUAAGGCAGAGGCAAAGGAGCCACACAGCUGCACCCUGCAAGCCUUCUGGAGUC